ACUCUUACGGGAGGCAGCAGUAGGGAAUCUUCCACAAUGGGCGCAAGCCUGAUGGAGCAACACCGCGUGAGUGAAGAAGGGUUUCGGCUCGUAAAGCUCUGUUGUUAAAGAAGAACACGUAUGAGAGUAACUGUUCAUACGUUGACGGUAUUUAACCAGAAAGUCACGGCUAACUACGUGCCAGCAGCCGCGGUAAUACGUAGGUGGCAAGCGUUAUCCGGAUUUAUUGGGCGUAAAGAGAGUGCAGGCGGUUUUCUAAGUCUGAUGUGAAAGCCUUCGGCUUAACCGGAGAAGUGCAUCGGAAACUGGAUAACUUGAGUGCAGAAGAGGGUAGUGGAACUCCAUGUGUAGCGGUGGAAUGCGUAGAUAUAUGGAAGAACACCAGUGGCGAAGGCGGCUACCUGGUCUGCAACUGACGCUGAGACUCGAAAGCAUGGGUAGCGAACAGGAUUAGAUACCCUGGUAGGAUAGCG
rnacentral:rRNA from 1 species